AAAAUCUGCCUAUCAGAGGGAAAUAACAGUGAGAAAUCACUGCUAAUACCGCAUAUGCCAUAGGAAUCGCAUGAUUCAAGUGGGAAAGGAGCAAUCCGCUGAUAGAUGAGCUUGCGUCUGAUUAGCUAGUUGGUGGGGCAAAGGCCUACCAAGGCGACGAUCAGUAGCCGGCCUGAGAGGGUGAACGGCCACAUUGGGACUGAGACACGGCCCAAACUCCUACGGGAGGCAGCAG
rnacentral:rRNA from 1 species